GCAUGAAGGAGAAAAAAAAAACCCUUCUCCUUCGUUGUAACUCAAGGAAUUCAGAAAUUAAAGGUGUUGUUGAUCAAAAAUCGAAUGCAUGAAGCUAGUUAUUCGCUAAUCUAAGCACAUUGAACAUAAGGAUUGAAAGAAGAAGGAACUAGUUCCGGUUCGCCACAAAAGGCCCAAGAACGAGGUAAAUCUCAUGCUUAGGAUGGCGAGCUCGGAUCGAACACACCACAUCAUCCAUAUAUGCGCUUCUAGUUAAAGUUGCCUUCUUGUAAAAGGGUCAAAAUGAUUUUUGUAAUGUAAUGUUAAACUUAAGCCUAGGAUGUUCGUAAGUAUUUUGGAUAUUUUCUUUUAAAUCUUAUUUUGGGUAGUUUGGUCAAAAUACUUGUAAUGAAUUUUGUAUGGUUGCAACCUUCUUAUCUUUAAAAAGUGUCGUAGCACUAAACUUUGAAUGAA